GUAAACCCCAACAAAAAGGGGGGAGGAAGGAAGGAGGAGUAGGAAAAGGGAUAAAGCUGAAUAUAUGGUCAUGGAAAUAAUCACUCCCUACAAAGCAGUGCUAAGUUAAGAAACAUUUUAAGAAGGAGUUUCUAGGCUUGCUAUCAGGCAGUUGCACUAUUCACCAGCACUGGACAUUUCAGUACAGAAGAGCUGGCUGGCAGCCUUAGCACAGUAACAGCACAACUCAAACAAAUGAUUAUUACAGUUAAGAUGUGAUGAUAGCAUCUGUGAAAAUGUAACCAACCCAUCAAGGAACAUGCAGAAUUGAAGUGAACAGUUGCACUGGCAGCAGAGACUAGCGAUCAUAAAUCAUCUAGCAGCCUAAGUAUAGACAAAGCUGAGGAUCUGAAGAGCAUCCCAAGCACAUAUCCAUCAACAUUGUUUGAGGCUGCUCUGCUGUGGAGGUAAACGAUACAGGACAAAGAGGGUUUGAGCUCAUGUUCUGACUCCAUGCAAACUGCUUUGAAUAGGGCUUUUCCCUCCAUAUAUAUUUAUAUGGGUCUGAGAAAGAAUUUGCAUCUCCUUAUUUCAUCCAAGAGAGUUGAAGGUAUUUGAGAGGUGGAGAAACGAGUUACUUCAUGAAGGGGCACUGACAGCUUUGCAAGACGGACUCAGUGAAUAUAGAUUCUAAAUCUCUGAGUAAAAAAGAUAUGUGAACAUAAUGUAAAUAGACAAAUUAAGAAAAAAUUCUGAUUCUGGAUUGUUGGUUGCUUUUUCUUCUCAAGAAAUUCAUUAACAAAACUUGAAAAAUUGCAUCUGUUAUGAUGGCUUUAAAAAAAUUAUAAAUUCUGAAUCUCACUAGCACAGAAUGCCUCUUUAUUUUCUGGCUAGCAUGAGAGUCGGUUGACUUGUACAGUAAUACAGAACUCAACAAGAAUAAACUAGAAGGAAAGUAUUCGGUAAAAUAAGCCCCGUGAAUUAAAUGAGAAUUCACAGCAGUAAAAUUAAAUGGGGAGCUUUUCAUCUGCUCACUCUGCAAUGUAUCUAAAAUCAACAACUGCCUGUGAAGAAAUUUAUACAAAUAACUUUAAACUUUGUUUUUCAACUGAGUAAUGCUCUAUUUGGCUACACCCAUGAUUUUGCAGUAAAAGCUGUGGCCAAAGCCUUUUCCCUACAGCUGGUAGACAAUGGAUACCUUUAUUCUAGUUUAUGUAAAUUAGGGACUACCACCCAAAGGCUGGGACUAUGAACAUCCUUCAUAUAUAUUUACAAACAAGAUAGAUGUGAGUUUAAUUAAAAUGCUAGUAAUACUUCUGCACUUUCCUCAAAUUCUUGUUUGCAUGUCUAGCAUAUUAAAAAGGUUGUUUAUUUGCAGUCUCUUUGCCUUUUUUUGUUUGUUUUCUUUGCUUCUGUCGGGCUAAAGUCAUAUAGCCAGGAUCUUCACAGCAUUCAGCACAAUGCUCUGGGAAUGUGCAUGAAGUGGAAAAGAUUGGUUAAUACUUGUGGAUGGAGUAACUCUAUGGAAAGUAAGAUGCACAUCUAGAGCAGAAUUUUUUUACCUGGGAUAUUUUCAUCCUGUUCCCUUUUCUCUCCAAAGUAAGUUCCACUUCUAAGUACAGUUUGAAUACCCUUAAGACAUCAAUAAAUGGGCCAUUUUAAAGACAAGAAAUGUACCAGUUAUGUUAUUAGCUUCAGGGUUGUUCAAGCCCUAUAUCCUUUAAAAGAAAGAGAGGGACAAAUGAUAAAUUAGCAUUUCCAGAGGAACACAAUGCAUUCUGAGCCCUGGCAUCACCUGUGAAAAUUCUGGCAAAACUCAGUUUUGGGGAAGCUGGCAGUCACUGAUCUUUCUGUCCUUGAAGUACAUUGAUACUGCUUUCUUAGAUUUAUGGUGCUCUAGUGGAAGAGACGUACUAGAAUUGAGAGGAGGGAAGUAAGUAAAAUGUAAUUGUGUGCUCCUUUGCACCAGAAGAAAUUUCCUUGCAAUAGAUCAUACCAUCCAAAAAUCUGACUGGAUAACAUUGUUUCUGCUUUGCCUGCAUACAUGAAUUUCUGAGAAGAUAUUUACAGCAGUGUAGAGACACUGUAUUUUUGUGUUGCUGCCCUGCUCUCUCCACUUUUCCCCCAUAAUCUCAUGGAAUUUCUUGAUGGAUCUCAAGAUACACAUUAAGUAUUUAAAUAUUGAGAUUCACGUUAAGUAUUAGGAAAGGUAGGCUGUAGAGUUAUUCUGAAAGGACAGAAGGAUGAAAAUUGCAAUUUUCCCUGUGUAUGGAAAUAUGUGGGAAUGCUCAUCUGCUCUGUACCUUUUUUUGAGGGGAACACAUUUCUCAGUACCCUUCUUUUUGCUUUUAAACAGCUGCUUUUGUUGGGGAAGGGUACAGACCUAGCUAUAUUAUCUUUCAGAUAGGCACACACUCCUUUUGUUGUAUUAAGGAAAAGAGAGCCAAAGAUAUCAAGCAACAGGGUAAAAAAGAAGUAACUCCUGAGAAACAAAAUGUGUAAUUAAAAAUAAAUUAAUUGUGAAAAGUUCUCCAAAAGAAUCUUUUUCAAGUCUGUGGCAGAGGAUGAAUCCAUAUCCUAAAAAAGAAUGAAGUCAGCAACUGUAUGCACUUUUCAUGACUGUCAUGUAAAACCUAGCAAACAGAUUAUUCGUUGGCUUAGUAGAUUAGACAUGAGGGCUUCUGUAAAUUAAAAACAAAAGCAGCUUUGGAAUGUAUUUCACUGUCUCAGUUGGAAAACAAAGAUCUCUUUCUCUCCACCCCUUCUUUUCCUUAGGAUAAUUAAAAAUAAAAAGUGUGCAGAGCCAUAUAAAUAAAACAAGGGCUGGGAUGAAGAAAAAAAAGGGAAAAAUCUUCCUUCAAAGAGAUGUCAGCAAUCACAGUUUUCAUUUGUCUGUGCCAAGAAAUGUGCUUAUAUGUACGUCUGAAUGUAGUUUAUUCUUGACUAUUUAUGGAAGUUAUGGUCUUAGAGACCUUAAUAUGUAAUAAAAAAAAAGAAAAAUCCUUAAUUACAAUCUGUUUUAAAUGAUGCUUAGCUUAAAAGCUUUCAAAUACCCCUCUAAGCAUUACAGAGUGUUCCACUGUCUU